rnacentral:rRNA from 1 species
CAUGCAGUCGAGCGGUAGCACAGAGAGCUUGCUCUCGGGUGACGAGCGGCGGACGGGUGAGUAAUGUCUGGGAAACUGCCUGAUGGAGGGGGAUAACUACUGGAAACGGUAGCUAAUACCGCAUAAUGUCGCAAGACCAAAGUGGGGGACCUUCGGGCCUCAUGCCAUCAGAUGUGCCCAGAUGGGAUUAGCUAGUAGGUGGGGUAACGGCUCACCUAGGCGACGAUCCCUAGCUGGUCUGAGAGGAUGACCAGCCACACUGGAACUGAGACACGGUCCAGACUCCUACGGGAGGCAGCAGUGGGGAAUAUUGCACAAUGGGCGCAAGCCUGAUGCAGCCAUGCCGCGUGUGUGAAGAAGGCCUUCGGGUUGUAAAGCACUUUCAGCGGGGAGGAAGGCGUUGAGGUUAAUAACCUUGUCGAUUGACGUUACCCGCAGAAGAAGCACCGGCUAACUCCGUGCCAGCAGCCGCGGUAAUACGGAGGGUGCAAGCGUUAAUCGGAAUUACUGGGCGUAAAGCGCACGCAGGCGGUCUGUCAAGUCGGAUGUGAAAUCCCCGGGCUCAACCUGGGAACUGCAUUCGAAACUGGCAGGCUAGAGUCUUGUAGAGGGGGGUAGAAUUCCAGGUGUAGCGGUGAAAUGCGUAGAGAUCUGGAGGAAUACCGGUGGCGAAGGCGGCCCCCUGGACAAAGACUGACGCUCAGGUGCGAAAGCGUGGGGAGCAAACAGGAUUAGAUACCCUGGUAGUCCACGCCGUAAACGAUGUCGAUUUGGAGGUUGUGCCCUUGAGGCGUGGCUUCCGGAGCUAACGCGUUAAAUCGACCGCCUGGGGAGUACGGCCGCAAGGUUAAAACUCAAAUGAAUUGACGGGGGCCCGCACAAGCGGUGGAGCAUGUGGUUUAAUUCGAUGCAACGCGAAGAACCUUACCUGGUCUUGACAUCCACAGAACUUUCCAGAGAUGGAUUGGUGCCUUCGGGAACUGUGAGACAGGUGCUGCAUGGCUGUCGUCAGCUCGUGUUGUGAAAUGUUGGGUUAAGUCCCGCAACGAGCGCAACCCUUAUCCUUUGUUGCCAGCGGUUCGGCCGGGAACUCAAAGGAGACUGCCAGUGAUAAACUGGAGGAAGGUGGGGAUGACGUCAAGUCAUCAUGGCCCUUACGACCAGGGCUACACACGUGCUACAAUGGCAUAUACAAAGAGAAGCGACCUCGCGAGAGCAAGCGGACCUCAUAAAGUAUGUCGUAGUCCGGAUUGGAGUCUGCAACUCGACUCCAUGAAGUCGGAAUCGCUAGUAAUCGUAGAUCAGAAUGCUACGGUGAAUACGUUCCCGGGCCUUGUACACACCGCCCGUCACACCAUGGGAGUGGGUUGCAAAAGAAGUAGGUAGCU